AGGUCCGCUCGUCAACGGCUAGUCAACGGCUGCGGGGACAAGUCCGUUGAGGCUGCCAGGCGAGUCAGGCCUUUCUGGACCUCGCCUGACUCGGAUGGGCUGUGCCUGAAAUUGACCCAGCUCCACUAGGGAUUAUGAAGAAACAAGGAGUAAACCCAAAGCCGCUGCAAUCUUCCCGCCCCAGCCCGUCUAAGCGGCCGUACGGGGCCUCCCCCGCCCGGGAGCUGGAGGUGGAAAAGUCGGCCCUAGGCGGCGGGAAACUGCCAGGGGGCGCCAGGAGGUCCUCCCCGGGGAGGAUCCCAAAUCUGAAAAAGCGAAAAGGCUUGGAGCUAAAGGUGGUGGCCAAGACCCUUCUCGACCCCUUCCAGUUCGUCCGUAAUUCCCUGGCGCAGCUCCGGGAAGAGGUGCACGAACUGCAGGCGCGGUGGUUCCCCAGCAGAACCACUCUCAGCAUCGCCAUCUUUGUGGCAAUUCUACAUUGGUUACAUUUAGUAACACUUUUUGAAAAUGAUCGUCAUUUCUCUCACCUCUCAUCUUUGGAAUGGGAGAUGACUUUUCGCACUAAAAUGGGACUUUAUUAUUCCUACUUCAAGACCAUCAUUGAAGCACCUUCAUUUUUGGAAGGACUGUGGAUGAUUAUGAAUGACAGGCUUACUGAAUAUCCUCUUGUAAUUAAUACAGUAAAACGCUUCCAUCUUUAUCCAGAGGUAAUCAUAGCUGCCUGGUAUCGCACAUUCAUAGGAAUAAUGAAUUUAUUUGGACUAGAAACUAAGACCUGCUGGAAUGUCACCAGAAUAGAACCUCUUAAUGAGUUCAAAGCUGUGAAGGAUUGGGAGAUCCUGCUUGCUUUUAUGUUGGUGUAAUCUUUAUUUUAAAUGGACUAAUGAUGGGAUUGUUCUUCAUGUAUGGAGCAUACCUGAGUGGGACUCAACUGGGAGGUCUUAUUACAGUACUGUGCUUCUUUUUCAACCAUGGAGAGGUUUGUUUUCUAGAAAGCAAUUUUUAAGAAAUAGAAGAGGCUGUAGAGGAACAAGGAAAUAUACUCAUCAAAACAAUAUUUAAUUGUAUACUACUUAUGACUUCACAAUAUUUUAAAGACCCUCGUGUUGCCACCCGUGUGAUGUGGACACCACCUCUCCAUGAAAGUUUUUCCUAUCCUUUCCUUGUACUUCAGAUGUAUAUUUUAACUUUGAUUCUCAGGACCUCAAGCAAUGAUAGAAGGCCCUUCAUUGCACUCUGUCUUUCCAAUGUUGCUUUUAUGCUUCCCUGGCAAUUUGCUCAGUUUAUACUUUUUACACAGAUAGCAUCAUUAUUUCCCAUGUAUGUUGUGGGAUACAUUGAACCAAGCAAAUUUCAGAAGAUCAUUUAUAUGAACAUGAUUUCAGUUACCCUUAGUUUCAUUUUGAUGUUUGGAAAUUCAAUGUACUUAUCUUCUUCUUAUUCUUCAUCUUUGUUAAUGACGUGGGCAAUAAUUCUAAAGAGAAAUGAAAUUCAAAAACUGGGAGUAUCUAAACUCAACUUUUGGCUAAUUCAAGGUAGUGCCUGGUGGUGUGGAACAAUCAUUUUGAAAUUUCUGACAUCUAAAAUCUUAGGCGUUUCAGACCACAUUCGCCUGAGUGAUCUUAUAGCAGCCAGAAUCUUAAGGUAUACAGAUUUUGAUACUUUAAUAUACACCUGUGCUCCCGAAUUUGACUUCAUGGAAAAAGCGACUCCACUGAGAUACACAAAGACAUUAUUGCUUCCAGUUGUUAUGGUGAUUACAUGUUUUAUCUUUAAAAAGACUGUUCGUGAUAUUUCGUGUGUUUUAGCUACAAACAUUUAUCUAAGAAAACAGCUCCUUGAACACAGUGAGCUGGCUUUUCACACAUUGCAGUUGUUAGCGUUUACUGCCCUUGCCAUUUUAAUUAUGAGGCUAAAGAUGUUUUUGACGCUGCACAUGUGUGUUAUGGCUUCCUUGAUAUGCUCUCGACAGCUCUUUGGCUGGCUUUUUCGCAGAGUUCGUUUUGAUAAUGUUAUCUUUGGCAUUCUAACAGUGAUGUCAAUACAAGGUUAUGCAAACCUCCGUAAUCAAUGGAGCAUAAUAGGAGAAUUUAAUAAUUUGCCUCAGGAAGAACUUUUACAGUGGAUCAAAUACAAUACCACAUCAGAUGCUGUCUUCGCAGGUGCCAUGCCUACAAUGGCAAGCGUCAAGCUGUCUACACUUCAUCCCAUUGUGAAUCAUCCACUUUACGAAGAUGCAGACUUGAGGGCUCGGACAAAAAUAGUUUAUUCUACAUAUAGUCGAAAAUCUGCCAAAGAAGUAGGAGAGAAAUUGUUGGAGUUACAUGUGAAUUAUUAUGUUUUAGAAGAGGCAUGGUGUGUUGUGAGAACUAAGCCUGGUUGCAGUAUGCUUGAAAUCUGUGAUGUGGAAGACCCUUCCAAUGCAGCUAACCCUCCCUUAUGUAGCGUCCUGCUCAAAGAUGCCAGGCCUUACUUCACCACAGUAUUUCAGAAUAGUGUGUACAGAGUAUUGAGGGUUAACUGAGAAGGAAACUACCCAUUACACUAUGGCACAAUGUGGUGUGUCAAAAACAAUCACCCUUUGGCUUAUUUACAUUAAUAAAAAUCACAAGCUUUAAUAACAGACACUUAAAAAUAAGAUAAAAAUGGAUUGAAAGUUUCUCUGAUUACUAAAAGGUAAAUUACUUUUCUGUUCAUUGAAUGUCAGCCUUAUUAAGCUUGUCAUAUAAGUUAUUAAAUCAUUCAUGUCAUACUGCAUAAACAAAUGUUCAUUUCAGAAUUUUAAAGAAAAAUGUAUAUAAAAGAACAAUGAAUUUUAAUAAAUCAAGGGUACGUAAGUCCUUUUUCAUCCAACUAGGUGAAUUGCUUCAGAUUUUCCCUAGUACCAGAGUGUACCUGCUCAAACUCUUUGAACCACUUAAGGGAGAAGAACGCAAGCUCUGAAAUGACAUCCUUAAAAUGCUGAUACUGAUCACAACCUCUUUACCUCUGUGAGCAAAUUGUAACAGUGUGUCUUUUAAGGUGUUUUUAUUUCACCAGCCCUUAAGAAAGAUCUCUAAUACCUUUUAAUACUUUUUUUUUAUAAUUUCAAGUUGAAGUGUUUUUAAAAACACCUUGUUUUGUAACGUUUUGAAUCUCUUGAGAUGUAUUUACCCCACUAGAUACAUAUUUGCCACUGGUUAGUUCUCCAUCUAAGCUCAAGAGGUUAUUCAUCUCUCUUUAGAUUCCAAUGGUUUUUCUUUUAACAUCCAGGUAAAAUAGAAACUGCUAUGGUAUACAACCAAAUUUUGGGGUUAAACAUAAUCAGAAAAGAAAAUCCAGUUAAAUUUAUGAAGUGAGAUUUUCAGAUCCUAGAUCUUGAAUAAAGCAAACGGCUUUUCAUCUUGAUGGCCCCAAAGCUUGUUGGUCAUGGUCUUUAUUUCUGGCCACUAUCAUCUUCUUAAAUAAUAUAUUUUUAAGCCCUCAUUUAUUUUUGGUUUUGGAUGAGGAAAGUCAUGUUUUCUAAGUCCUCUCCCCUAAUAAAACCUACCCAACAAUAGUGCUUUGAAAAGUGGUAGUUAUCUUGAAGAUAGAUACUCUUGCCAAAUGCAAAGAUAAACAUUCUUUUUGUCUGCUUUAUAAAUAUGAAAUAUGCCAGAUCUAUAGUAUUUUAAUGUGCAUCUACUUUAAAUGAGUCAUCUUGGGGUUUUUAUAAUUCCCUUACAUUCUUGCCCCUCUACACUUGAAAUAACAAAAUGCCUUAAUUUUAUAGAUUAGUUCUCUUAUAGCAGACAGGCAGCUAUAUGCAGCAAAACCAAUAAAGUUAUUUUUCAACUUUAAUAGUUGUAAAAUGUUAUAACAGAAUACAUAACAGCUAAGAAAACAUGCCACAUUUUAUUUUAGCAUUUUCAAAUAAUUUGUUUUUGGUGUAAGCACAGGAUAAAAAAGGAGAGCGUCAAAGAAAAGAGACUUAAAAAAAUAACAUUCAUAAAAAUUAACAAAGUAUAUUUUGGAUGAUGUUUUUACAGGAAAUAGUUUAAGUUGGUAGAAUUUUUAAAAUGGUACUGUAUUAGCUAAUAAAAUAUUCAGUACAUAUAUAUGUUUGGAUUUAUGCAUUAAAAAACUAAUAAAAUUAUUUCCAACUUU